GUGCAGCAGUCGCGAAACCUCCGCAAUACACGAAAGUGUGACGGGGCCAUCCCGAGUGCCGUCCGCUGAGGACGGCUUUUCCCCAGUGUACACAGCUGGGGGAAUAAGGAGAGGGCAAGCCUGGUGUCAGCCGCCGCGGUAAUACCAGCUCUCCGAGUGGUGGGGACGCUUAUUGGGCCUAAAGCAUCCGUAGCCGGCUGGGCAAGUCCUCCGUUAAAUCCAACGAUUCAAUCGUUGGGCUGCGGGGGAUACUGUCCAGCUUGGGGGCGGGAGAGGCCGACGGUAUUCCCGGGGUAGGGUGAAAUCCUAUAAUCCCGGGAGGACCACCAGUGGCGAAGGCUGUCGGCUAGAACGCGCCCGACGGUGAGGGAUGAAAGCUGGGGGAGCGAACCGGAUUAGAUACCCGCGUAGU
rnacentral:rRNA from 1 species